GAUAGGCCGAGCCGGUGCUAGUGCACUAAGGCCACCUCCAAAUGCAAUGUCAGGUUCCGGUUCCGGUUCGGGCAUGGGAAUGGGCAUGGGCAUGGGCAUGAACCCCAAUCUUGGCAUGGGCAUGGGCAUGAGAGGCUAUGGAGGUAUGAAUCAACCCAUGGGUGGCAUGGGGAUGAAUAUGGGCAUGGGGCAACAAGGAAUCCCAAUGCAGCAACCUCGAGCGAACAUGCCCGGUGUAUACAACCCGAUGAUGGGUGCUGGUGGUUAUGCUCCUCAACAGCCACCAUACGGCAGUUACCGAUGACAUCAGAUGUUAGAGUUGUGGAAGAGCCUCCGUUUGUUUAUCAGGUUAUAAAAUUAGAUAGGACACAGCACUAAAUAUUCAAAGAUCUGCAUCCAACCCAAGAUUUUAUUAUUUGAAUCUAUAUAUUUUUUUUUCACUGAAUGAAGGCCUUGUCUUCAUUGUUU
rnacentral:misc_RNA from 1 species